rnacentral:snRNA from 1 species
UUGCUUUGACAGCACAUAUAGUAAAAAUUGCAACAAUAUGAAGAAGAUUAGCAUGGGCCCUGCACAAAGAUGAUGUCCAAAUUUGCAGAGCAUUUCAAUUUUUU